CCCUUAGAUGUUCUGGGCUGCACGCGCGCUACACUGAUGCAUCCAGCGAGUUGUACCCUUGCUUGGUAAAGUUUGGUAAUCUGAGGCUAAUGUGCAUCGUGAUGGGAAUAGAGUUUUGCAACUAUUAGUCUUGAACGAGGAAUUCCUCGUAAGCACGAGUCAUCAGCUUGCGCUGACUACGUCCCUGCCCUUUGUACACACCGCCCGUCGCUACUACCGAUUGAAUGAUUUAGUGAGGACUUCGGACUGGGACCGAUGCGGCUUUCGGGCUGCGUCGGUAUUCUGGAAAGAUGUCCAAACUGUAUCAUUUAGAGGAAGUAAAAGUCGUAACA
rnacentral:rRNA from 1 species